ensembl:lncRNA
CCAGCCCGAAAUAUGAGAAAAAAAUUAUUAGAAAUUCCGCGGGCGGUGUAAAGGCGGCGGACGGGCCGGAGGGAGGAUGUUAAAGCCCCGCGGUUGCCUCUCAGUGCUGCCUUGGUGGUAUUGGGCACCCAGAAUGCUUCAGUCUGUAAUGAUCUAUUAAUAAGGUGGCCUAACUAGAGUUUGCAGCAGGGUCUCAGGUAGGUGGUUUUUAUCAUUAUAUGGCAUGAUUUUCAAAGUGAUCAGUUAUUCCAUAUCCAUACUUAUGUGCACUACAAUAGUAAAAACUUUGAAAAGCAUGCCACAUAAUAAGCAUGCCAGCUAGGCUCUUCGGGCUUGCCAGUGUGCACUGGUUUACAAGAUGUCGGUAAAAUCUAUGCUCUGUAAUCAGCCAAGAACAACCGUCUUCCUUCAGAAUAGAAAGCUUCAAUAAAGUUUGGGUUUUUUCCUCCUCUUGGAGACCACAGAUGAGCUCACAAGCUCUUGAUCUUCUGAAUAUCACUGAAUGGUAAACUACCCCAUGGAACCACUGUGUUCAUGUGCUGAGAGGAUCUUAACUGUGGUCAGAUCGAGGUCUGUACCCAGAGUACAGAGCCCAGUGUGACCAGAGCAACUUCCAACCUUUGCUGGAAAGAGGACACACAAAAGCACCUAGAGUUCCAAUGGUAGUUAUAACUCAGUGGCACAGAAUCAAGGUUUAGUGAUAUUUGGAAACCCAAGCACACGUGGAUUUGAGCCAGGUAAGUCUGUCAGUGCAACCUCCAGCACAAGGCUGGAAUUUAGAGACCAGGACUCCAUAUUCUAGGGUAAGGAGACUGGAAACAGCAAAAGUGGUUACUCAGCAGACUCAAACCCCUAACCUGGUCAUCUAUGGUGGUCAGCCCCAACCCUCAGGAAACUAGGCCUUGGGCUGAGAUCUAAACAGGACCUUAGAAACAUGAAGAAAGCUUAACAAUUAAAUUAAAGGAACACAAAUUAGUCUUAAUAAGUACAUUCUAUAAAGAGUAAAAUCAAGUUAGC